AAUGAACGUUGGCGGCGUGGAUUAGGCAUGCAAGUCGAGCGAGAACCGUAGCAAUACGGGGACAGCGGCGUAAGGGAGAGUAAUGCGUGGAUACCUACCCUCGGGUCCAGGAUAGCUGCGGGAAACUGCAGGUAAUACUGGAUGACAUCUCCGGAUCAAAGGUGUGAUUCCGCCCGGGGAGGGGUCCACGUCCUAUUAGCUAGUUGGCGAGGUAACGGCCCACCAAGGCAAAGAUGGGGUAUGGGGUGUGAGAGCAUGCCCCCACUCACUGGGACUGAGACACUGCCCAGACACCUACGGGUGGCAG
rnacentral:rRNA from 1 species